AAACAGCUGUUAUUUAUUUACACGUUUUGCUCAAAAUCGUUUGGUGAAUUAUUGGAAUAUUAGUUUACGUGAAAUAAAAUAAAAAAUGUCUAGACGAAGCGGCAAUUUCUCAAGAAGUGAAGUAAACUACUUGCUGGAACUUGUGGACGCAAAGGAUGUGUGAAAAGCCAAAGGAUGGAGCGACGUUGAAGCGGAAUUCAACGCAAAGUUUGGGCAUGUCUUCAGGAACGCAAAAGUCUUGAGGACCAAAUACGAAAAUUUAAAGAAGACGGCAAAAAAAUUUUUCGCAGUUGAGAGGAGAGAGCUGUAUAUAGAACCGGGGAUGGAACGACUGCUUCUCUACCAACUACUAGUAUCUAUGAUGAUGACGCCUUAGAAAUAAAUGACGAAAAUUGCAUUGUGGAGACGCUCGAGGACGCCGAAGACUGGAUUGUAUUUCUCGAGACUUCAAUGGAUCAGGCGUCAGAUAAAGCACAGGAAAGUUCGUGAAAAAAAGAGUUUGGGUGAUUGCAACAACAUUAGUGUUUAGUUUUGGUUUAUUAAUUUUUAGUCUUAAUGUGAUUUUUUUUUUAUUUUUUAAAAUGUAAGGAAGCGAAUGUAGUCAUACGAAAUGAAUUUAAAGUCUGAGUAGUCUGUAAAUAAUUAAAGUAAUACAAAUGAAUGUACCUUUUUUAUAGUAAUAAGAAAACUAAUAUUAUGUGAUA